rnacentral:rRNA from 1 species
GAUCUUUAUUUUUAUUUUUUAUAAAUAAAAAAGAAUAAAAAUUUUUAUAAUAAAAUUAAAAAUUUUACUGGGGUGGUAUUAAAAUUUAAUAAACUUUUAUAAUUAUUUUACAUAAAUAUAUGAAUUAUUGAUCCAAUUAUAUUGAUUAAAAAAUUAAGUUACCUUAGGGAUAACAGCGUAAUUUUUUUUUAGAGUUCAUAUCGACAAAAAAGAUUGC